GGGAACCAUUGUCACACUGCAGGACCCAGAAUAGAUCUGUUGUUCCUCUUUUGGUGUCAGACUUCAAUGGAGGAGAGGAGGAGGAAUUGAGGAGAGGAGGAGGAAUUGAGGAGAGGCUGUUUCUGACUGUUUAAGGGUCUUUGUGAUUUACUUAGCUCACUCCUGGUCCACUUUACACACACCCAAUAGGAGUCAUAGCUGUGUAGCUUUGAGCCAAUAGGAGCCAUAGCUAUGCUGCUCUGAACCAAUAGGAGCCCUAUUUUCACGUGGCUUACAGACAGAAAAUCUAGGAAGGAGGAAGGGGGGGGGGGGGGGGGUGAGGAAAAGAGAAAAGGAGAGUGAGUCCUAAGAAGGGAGGAGGUCUGUAUUUAGAUUCUGUCUGUUGAGGAGGGAGGGUGGAAAGGAGGUGUGGUGGUGGGGGUGAAGACGGGAGGGGGGGGAGUGAUGACAUUCCUUUGAAGUGGUUAGCAGCUGAGGUAUUAAAUUAUUCAGUUGUAGGAGAUUAAAGUUUCAGGGGAUAAUUUGACUUGUCGUCUCCUUUUCUCUCUGCCUCUUCUCUCCUGGCCUCCCUGCCUCUCCUCCCCUGGUCUCCCUGCUUCUCAUCCCCUGGCCUCCCUGUCUCUCCUCCCCUGGCCUCCCUGCCUCUCCUCCCCUGGCCUCCCUGCCUCUCCUCCCCUGGCCUCCCUGCCUCUCAUCCCCUGGCCUCCCUGCCUUUCCUCCCCUGGCCUCCCUGCCUUUCCUCCCCUGGCCUCCCUGCCUUUCCUCCCCUGGCCUCCCUGCCUUUCCUCCCCUGGCCUGUCACUGGAGGGCAAAACAACUUUGUCUGUAGUCUAGCUGGCUGCAAGGUUUUAUGAAGUGUGGUUGAAUCAUUUCCAGUGUGUGUGUGUGUGUGUGUGUGUGUGUGUGUCUCAUCACUGGAGAAACCCUAUAGAAGGAAGUGUAGUUAGAACAUGCUGCUCUCACACUCACCCUCUUUCUCUCCCCCUAUUGGGAUGACGCCAUUUUCUCUCCUCUCCUCUUUCAGGGGUUCUGAUGUUCUGGCUGGCAUGUGUUCUGAACAACAAAGACACUGGCUGUAGACUGGCUAAUGAAUUUCUGAAAACUAGCUGUGGAUUGUGCAGAAGACUUGGCUACCCUCCCAAUUUCCAGGAAAACUGUUUCCAUAUAAACAUGUGGAGCAUGACAUCUCAUUAGGAUAACUGAAUGGUUUUUUUACAGAAGCAGAUUUAUUUGAAGCAUACAGUAGAUGUGCUUGAGUGGAUUUGAAUGCUUAUCAAGGUCAUUAGGGUUUAACUCAUAGUUCAGUCAGGAGGUAUAUUUUAUAAAGGUCAUUAGGGUUUAACUCAUGGUUCAGUCUGGGGUACGUUUUAUAAAGGUCAUUAGGGUUUAACUCAUGGUUCAGUCUAGGGGUACAUUUUAUAAAGGGUUUAAAUGAUGGUUUCUGGAGCUGAGGUUUGCAACAAAUGUUCACUAUUGUCCCACAUAUAAAUCCUGCCAUCUUCGUUGGACAAAAAGUUACAGAUGCCAGUUACAAGGCCAGUCACAGAGGCCAGACUGAGAGGCCAGACAGAGGCCAGUCAUAAAGGCCAGAUUCAUGGGCCAGUCACAGUGACCAGUCAGAGAGGCCAGUUAUGGAGGCCAGUAAAUGUGUGGCAGACGUAACCGUAAACUAACGACAGCACCUCCAGGCUCUCACCAAGCUGUAAGGUAUAGUCCCCAGGUCGAUGUGGGCUCUCUCACCAAGCUGUAAGGUAUAGUCCCCAGGUCGAUGUGGGCUCUCUCACCAAGCUGUAAGGUAUAGUCCCCAGGUCAUUGUGG
ensembl:lncRNA